GGCCUCCCUGGCAAUGGGUGAAGAGUCACCUUGAUGGUGGUAAUUUUUAUCAGUCAGAGGCAGAGCAGUUGGCAGUCCUUUGUUCAUCCUAGCUUGAAGCCUGGUUUAGGGGCCAAGCUGUUUUGUGCCUAGGACACACAA